rnacentral:rRNA from 1 species
UGGGCGAAAGCCUGAUCCAGCCAUGCCGCGUGUGUGAAGAAGGUCUUCGGAUUGUAAAGCACUUUAAGUUGGGAGGAAGGGUUGUAACCUAAUACGUUGCAACUUUGACGUUACCGACAGAAUAAGCACCGGCUAACUUCGUGCCAGCAGCCGCGGUAAU